GACGAACGCUGGCGGCGUGCUUAACACAUUCCAGUCGAACGGAAAGGCCCUGCUUUUGUGGGGUGCUCGAGUGGCGAACGGGUGAGUAACACGUGAGUAACCUGCCCUUGACUUUGGGAUAACUUCAGGAAACUGGGGCUAAUACCGGAUAGGAGCUCCUGCUGCAUGGUGGGGGUUGGAAAGUUUCGGCGGUUGGGGAUGGACUCGCGGCUUCUCAGCUUGGUGGUGGGGUAGUGGCUUACCAAGGCUUUGACGGAUAGCCGGCCUGAGAGGGUGACCGGACAAAUUGGGACUGAGAUAAGGCCCAGACUCCUACGGGAGGCAGCAGUGGGGAAUAUUGCAGAAUGGGCGGAAGCCUGAUGCAGCAACGCCGCGUACGGGAUGACGGCCUUCGGGUUGUAAACCGCUUUCGCCUGUGACGAAGCGUGAGUGACGGUAAUGGGUAAAGAAGCACCGGCUAACUACGUG
rnacentral:rRNA from 1 species